rnacentral:rRNA from 1 species
CUUUCGAUGGUAGGAUAGAGGCCUACCAUGGNGGUAACGGGUAACGGGGUGUUAGGGCACGACACCGGAGAGGGAGCCUGAGAAACGGCUACCACAUCCAAGGAUGGCAGCAGGCGCGCAAAUUACCCAAUCCCGACACGGGGAGGUAGUGACAAUAAAUAACAAUACGGGGUUCUUUCGGAUUUCGUAAUUGGAAUGAGUACAAUUUAAAUCUCUUAACGAGGAACAAUUGGAGGGCAAGUCUGGUGCCAGCAGCCGCGGUAAUUCCAGCUCCAAUAGCGUAUAUUAAAGUUGUUGCAGUUAAAAAGCUCGUAGUUGAAUUUCGGGAUCAAUAUGUUGGUCGUGCCUUGGUACGUACUGGCGUCAUUGGUUUCUACCUUCUGAAGAACCUCGAUGUCAUUAAUUUGGUGUCUUGGGGAAUCAGGACUGUUACUUUGAAAAAAUUAGAGUGUUUAAAGCAGGCUCACGCUUGAAUACAUUAGCAUGGAAUAAUGAAAUAGGACGUUUGAUUCUAUUUUGUUGGUUUCUAGGAUCGACGUAAUGAUUAAUAGGGAUAGUUGGGGGCAUUAGUAUUCAAUUGUCAGAGGUGAAAUUCUUGGAUUUAUUGAAGACUAACUACUGCGAAAGCAUUUGCCAAGGAUGUUUUCAUUAAUCAAGAACGAAAGUUAGGGGAUCGAAGACGAUCAGAUACCGUCGUAGUCUUAACCAUAAACUAUGCCGACUAGGGAUCGGAUGAUGUUAAUUUUUUAAUGACUCAUUCGGCGCCUUACGGGAAACCAAAGUGUUUGGGUUC